UCUUGCUUUCUGCCGCUGUUGUGCAUC
rnacentral:piRNA from 1 species